AGGUUACUUGCACCACAUUAAUUGCAUCUAUGAAUUAUUAUAUCUACUUGAACUAACCCUUACAAGAUGAACAAGUGGAUUAGGCAGAUUCCUACGAAGAAACUGUUUGAAGACUAAACUGAAUGCAAGCAAGAGCAAACCACAAGAAAGCAACAGAGCCGCUGCCACUUCUCCUACUAGACAAAUGCUUCGUCAGUCGCUUAAGAGGCCACUCUCUUAGGCAGGUCCCAUGAAGACAGCUUGAGCAUGCUUACCUUCCGUUGCAUCUGUGAGUCGGUGGGAAGCACUUGCAUCCUCGCCACCCAGAAGUCUAGAUUGCUCCAGUUCAGCUCUCUCUUUACCUUCAUGGCAAAUGGCUGCACCUGGCCUCCUGCUUGCUAUAGUCACCAGCUGGCGUCAAAACUCAGGGAAACUCACUUGCUGUAGAAGCUGAUCUGCAGAAUCCAUCGGACUGUUCGCCAGACUAAAAGAGCUGUGAUGUUUUGAUCCCUAGAGCUUUUUUGGGUAACCUUUCAUGUACUGUCACCAGUUACUUCCAGGUUUAAUGUGCUUUCAUCAAUGGGUUUUUGAAGCCAGCCUCCACUCCACUCUCACUUUAUUUAUAUAGUGUUGGAGGGUGGAAUUGACAUCCUCUUUCAGACGGAAAGUAAAUUGAGUUCUCUCUUUUAGCUAUGGAUUAUUGAGCAGGUUGCAAUAGAAUUGUAAUGCCGCUGGUGGUGACCUUUGUGUAGGAAUUUUUGUGUAUUUUGCAAAGCAAAAAUAAAUCCAAUGAAGCUUAAUCAUGGCCAAAAUCCAAACUGAGAAAACCUUUGAAAGGUAGAUUAAAAAGCCAUAGCAGCAUUCAUUUCAUAGAAAUUAAUGAAUUAUAAAAGUGAGAGAUAUUAAAUUUGAAUAGCCCAGCUCUCCCUCCACCCCCAGAUGUGCAAAAAAGGCAAGUUCUUGGUAGAAUGCCAUUAUUUUCACAAGGUAAAAAGCCAGGGAUAAUGUAACAGAAUAUUUCCUGGUUAAAAAAAUAAUAAGUUCCAUAUUGACCCAUUCGAUCGUUAGCUUCCAUCUCAGUUCACACUUCAAAAUGUUCUCUCAAAUGGUUAUGCAUUGGACACAUGGGAAGAAAAUCUGAGGUGAUAGCCUAAGCUUUUAGAGUAAACCAAACCCAUUGAGUGGCAAGUUAAUGUACAAUAGCGUCCAUAAGGCAUGUUAACUGGC
rnacentral:lncRNA from 1 species